UACGGGGGGGGCAAGCGUUGUUCGGAAUUAUUGGGCGUAAAGGGAGCGUAGGCGGUGCGGUAAGUUUGGUGUGAAACCUCUGGGCUCAACUCAGAGCUGGCAUCAAAGACUGCCGUGCUAGAGUGCGGGAGAGGAGAGUGGAAUUCCCGGUGUAGCGGUGAAAUGCGCAGAUAUCGGGAAGAACACCCGUGGCGAAGGCGGCUCUCUGGGACGGUACUGACGCUGAGACGCGAAAGCGUGGGGAGCGAACAGG
rnacentral:rRNA from 1 species